rnacentral:rRNA from 1 species
UAGUCAUAUGCUUGUCUUAAAGACUAAGCCAUGCAUGUCUAAGUAUAAGCACUUGUACUGUAAAACUGCGAAUGGCUCAUUAAAUCAGUUAUAAUUUAUUUGAUGGUAAAUACCACUUGGAUAACCGUGGUAAAACUAGAGCUAAUACAUGCGUAAAAACCUGACUAGAAAUGGAAAGGUUGUAUUUAUUAGAUACAAAACCAAUAAGGUAGAGGUCAAACUCUAUCUUCCAAUUGGUGAUUCAUAGUAAUUAAACUAAUCGUAUAAUCUUGUAUUGACGAUAGUUCAUUCAAAUAUCUGCCCUAUCAACUUUCGAUGGUAGUAUAGAGGACUACCAUGGUGGUAACGGGUAACGGAGAAUCAGGGUUUGAUUCCGGAGAAGGAGCCUGAGAAACGGCUACUACUUCCAAGGAAGGUAGCAGGCGCGCAAAUUACCCAAUCCCAAAACGGGGAGGUAGUGACAAUAAAUAACAAUAUUGGAUUUUAUAAAAAAUCUAAUAAUUGGAAUGAGUACAAUCUAAACCCCUUAACGAGUAUCAAUU